GCCGGCGGUGGAGGCCGCGGCGGCGUGCCUCCAGCCCGACAAGGCCGG
rnacentral:misc_RNA from 1 species